AUGAUGAGCGGUACACGCCGUAUGUUAGGGAGACAGGACUUCUCCCUUUCAUUCAGUUGGUCAGCCGGUCGACGCCACCCAACAAUGCUCCAGCACUCACUACGCUUAUUGAUCAUUGGAGGCCGGAGACACACACACUUUCCAUCUUCGGACUGGGGAGAUGACCGUGACGCUCCAGGAUAUAGCUAUGAUCACCGGUCUUCCUAUCGAUGGGAAUCCUCUAUGUAUGAGCACCGAUUCUGA
rnacentral:rRNA from 1 species